rnacentral:lncRNA from 1 species
AAUUCUUAGGUUUCACUAACAAAGAUGCUGAAAGAGUGGGUUGUGGUGCUGCCUCUGUAAUAUUAUAUUUUUUAAAGGUUUUUCUUUUAAUGGGGACCUUUUAAAAAAUCUUUUUUGAAUUUGUUCCAAUACUGAUUCCAUUUUAUGUAUUGGUUUUUUUUUUGGCCUCAAGGCUUGUUGGAUCUGAGCUCCCCUCCUAGAAACUGACCCUACAACCUCUGUACUUGGAAAUGAAGUCUUAAACACUGGACUACUGGAGAAGUCCCUAUAAUAUCUCUUUUAAAAAAGCACAAGAAUCAUUCAAUUGGCCUAUUAUUCUGAAUUGUUUCCAUCAUUGUUAGUCCAACCUUCCACAAUUCCAAUAUCCCAAGGAGUUCAAGAUGCUCUCAACUUAAGAAAUAAGCCAAGAACAGCUGAAGUUCAGACUUAUGUGACCUUGAACCUGGAUAGAGGUUGAGUAAAUC